CCUUGUGUUGCCAGCUUCUGGGGGCUGUGGGCUUUUUCCAGAGAUUCUUUCCAAUUUCUUGUCCUGAAGAAACAACUGGACAAGACACACCAAGUGAAAAAGACAGCGAGGCUUUACAUUUAUCCAAGGGAGGAACAAAGUAGGCGCUGCCCCUGGGAGCGAUUACAGGGGCCUCGAGGUCUGUGGUGUCGUCUUCUGGGUUCCUACUUCCUUUAGCUGACGUCAGACCAGCUGGGUCUCGCGCUGCCUGGAGAACUGAAGACAACGCUUUCUGAUUGGCCCCAGGCGCAUGGUCUGGGAACUGUUUUUCUGCGCAUGCGUCCUGAGUGCUCAUGAUUGACAGGUCCCACCCACUACUCUGCCUGCUGGCCCCGCCCUAAUCUCUGACCUCGCUUGGACUGGAAAGAAAUUCUGUUCUGUUAGCAUUUCCCAGUCCAUCCUUCCUUUUCUCUGUCAUCCCUUCCUCCAUCCCUCUCUCCACACCCCUGGGUUCCAGUGCAGGCUGGUGUGAAUGUGGGAUUUGGUGUACUUGACUUGUUAGACCCUGGGAAGUCACUCAGCCACUCUUGGGCCUAAGUUUUCCAAUCCGUAGAAAUGAAAAUUAUUUCUCCCUUUAUAAAGUUGCUAAGAUACUUGUCUUAGGACUUUGCUCAUUGCUGGGGCAAAAAUACCUGACCGCACCCCCCGCGGCUGAGCGCACCUGUGGACGAAUCCAGCAAAGAAUACAGCGCACGUGAUCCGCUCACGUCCAAAGUUGCAAUACCGGGAAACCAAACACCUGUAGAGGACCAGGCAUUACCCGAGAUGGAUACCAGGAUUCUCACUAAGCACAAUGGGACAAGCACGAAGGGCUGGACUGUGCACCCAGAAUCUCCCAGGCAGUGGCCCAGCCAAGCCAGUGGCCAGAGGCACUCGCUGACCAGAAUGUAAUGGAAAAAAAAAGAAGAGGUUGGAGUGGAACCAAGCCCUGAAAGAAAAUAACCUCCAACCCAGAUUGGUGUACCCUGAAAAACUGUCUCUCAAAAUUAAUGGAGAAAUAAGAUGUUUCCAUGACAAAGAGGAACUGAGGGAGUUCAUGACCACCAAUUCAACCCUCAAAAAAUACUGAAGGACAUUUUGGAGUGAAAGAAAAAAACCAGGAUUUCAGGAACAGUGGCAGAGAGGCCUCAAUGAACAGGGCAGAUAGUGGAAUGAAGGAGAAAAGUAGACAACCAAUGGCAGAAAAAUAGCAUAGCAGAAAUGAGGCAGAGAAGGUUGGCUAUAAUCUCUAACAUAGAUGUCCUCGAUACACGACAAAAGAAACACAGGCAGAGUAGAUCAGGAGGUAGGGUCCAUUGAGAUGCUCUGUAUAGGAAAUAUAAUUAACUUGAAAGAGGGUUCAUGGGUUGAAAGUCAAAUAUGAGAAAACAAUGCUCCAUGUGACAGGGAAUCAGAGAGAAAUAGGGGCAACUUGACCAGUACCUGCAGAUAGGUUGGAAAGACAGGAUACUUAUGUGCAAUAGAGAGCUACUUAGCUAUAGCUAAGGAAAAUCUUGAGGCUUUUGUAGGUAAAGGAAUACAACUGAAGAUCAAGCUCAGGGGUAAAAAAGUUCAGAACCACUUAGGUAGAUGGUGGGUUGCCCCCCGAAUCUAAAAACUAAAGAAAUUAGUGGGGCCUAAAAUGUACAAUAUACCCUGUGAAAGUGAAAGAGGAGGAACUGUCUAAAAAAGGAAGGCAGAGGAUAUGCCUCUGAUAAUAGUGUAUCAGGAUUUAAAAUCCACAUUAUCACCGCUCUGUUUAGAUGGAUUAUAUUCUGUUCCAGUUUGUCUACUUGUACUAGAUUUGAGGGCACAGACAGUUAAUCCUGAAAAUAUCAGGAUAUAUUAUGGCAACCAUCCUUAAUUUCCUAUUAAUUUAAUCUGAAGCCCUGUAUAACUUACACUGUCUUAUUAUGACUGAUCUUAUUUGAAUCUGGCUUGUUAGAUUGCUGUUUUGUAUUAACUGAUUUUAUUUGAAUCUGUUGUGAUUAAUAGUAUCAAAUCUGAGAGUAUAGGCAGUUAUACUGAAGAUGACAAGAGUCACUAGGAUACCCACUCUGUUUUGACUAUUACCUGCUUUUGAAGCCUUAAAAUGUCUCCAAUAUUUUGUUUUUAUUGUUAUGUACUGCUAUGUUCAAUUAUACUAUGCCUGAUGAUAUAGACAAUUCUAUUGAAGACAACAAGAGACAUCAUAGUAAUUAUUGUAGACCUUGUAUUGUGGUUUUAUAUGACUUUUUCAUUUCAUGUUUUUAUAGGAAUUUGUUUUGGUUUGUCUUGCUUUUGUUUUGUUUUUACUUCUAAUAUAGAAAGGAUAGAUAUACAUGUAGAGACUCAUGCAUGCAUAGAACUUCUAAACAGUUUAUGAUAAUUGAUUAUAUAAUGAUGAUGAAAUGUACAACUACCUUGAAGAAAAAGAGACACUAUGGUACCCAGUUCUGAUGCCAUUGUAGCGUCAUGAUGUGUAAUCCAGCAAUAUUAUUAUUCUUUGUUCAGAGUGAUUUCAGUCUGUUUUGCUUCGUUUAAUUUCAACAUAUGUGAAGGUAUAGACAGCUAUUUUGAAGAGAAUGAGAGACACUAUGACAGCCAUUGUUGACUUCCCUAUUGUCUGGUCUUGAAGACCUAAAAUGCCUUCAUCAUCUUGUUUGGAUUAGUUUUAUACUAUGUUGUUUUGUAUGAAUUCACUGUACAUGAAGAUAUGGACAUCUGUUUGGAAGAAAACAAAAGACAAUAUGUUAGAUAGUGAAGAUCUCUGGUUGUCUUGUUUUAAAAUCUGUAU